rnacentral:rRNA from 1 species
CGUGGGUAACCUGCCCAAGAGAUCGGGAUAACACCUGGAAACAGAUGCUAAUACCGGAUAACAACAGAUGAUGCCUAUCAACUGUUUAAAAGAUGGUUUUGCUAUCACUCUUGGAUGGACCUGCGGUGCAUUAGCUAGUUGGUAGGGUAACGGCCUACCAAGGCGAUGAUGCAUAGCCGAGUUGAGAGACUGAUCGGCCACAUUGGGACUGAGACACGGCCCAAACUCCUACGGAGGCAGCAGCC